AUAGGAUAUAACUUUUUAAGGAAUUAGGAUGAUUGUUUUCAACUCGUUCAUCAUCGCAGUCAACUCUUCUUAAUGAUUGUAGUUUAUGUGUAAAAAUUAUUCGAAGCAUUGUAGUUUUGCUUCAAUUUUUUAUUUUAUUUUCACACGUCAACUCUAUUGAACUCAUUAAAGUCUUGUUGAUGUGCUAUAUGAAUCAUCUCCUUUAAACUCUACUCAAUCUGGAGCCUUCUCCAAACUUCUGGAGGCAAGAAACCCAAAUAUCCGUGUCCAUAUGAAACUAAUGAAAUUUCAUGUUGACUGCCAGACUAACACAAGCCUUUCUAUCAGUGGUUGGAAUCUGCCAUGUUAAAAAACAAUAAACGUGAACCCCUGUCAUAAAAAAAAAUAUAUAUGUGAAGCAAAGCUGACAUCGAUUAUUUUUAGAUAUUAAAAUUGCAACUUAUUCUGGAGCCUUACAAAGAUAUUGGAAACAAUCUUUAGAAUUUCAGUUCAUUCAUUAACUCGCGUCUUUCAUCAGUUUGAUUAGAACACACUUUUUAUCCUACGUAAUGGAGGUUUUUUCCAUGAUGAAGUUCACACGAGUAGAAUGUCAUGCUUAUUCAAUUUUUCCAAUAUCAUGCUGUGCUUGUGAUACUGAGAGCUUCUUUAACCCAUCUUUUUCGGUGAAAUUAUUAGCUUGGUCCUGGGGUCGGAGAAGUGUAGGGAGGAUUUGGGGUGGGGGUGCUUUGAUUUUAAGGAUCUCAGUAGCCUUGGCUGCAGCCUUCCGGGCCGGGUUUUAUUGCCGUUUCAUUGAUUUUUUUGGCUUGAAUCAACAUGCAGACCUUUGAAAAUGUCUCCCAGAAUUAUCCACAGUUCCAGAUAGGAUCAAUAUUAAUUGUUUAUCUUGACAAUUCUGCUUGAUUAUUAGGAGACUGAAAAUCAUUGCUCUUAAUACUAUCCACGGUUAUGGUCUUUACUCAUUUGAUUUCAUUUUGCUUCCUUACAGAAAUCGAAAGGUUUAAAUGUAUUAUUUAUUAUCGAAUUUUGAGAAUCAUUUUUCACUAAUUCACUGUGGUUCAGGUGCUGUUCUGAAUUCUGGAUAUGGCCUUGUCCGUUUCUAGUUUUGAG
rnacentral:lncRNA from 1 species